GUUGAACGCUGGCGGCAUGCCUUACACAUGCAAGUCGAACGGCAGCACGGGUGCUUGCACCUGGUGGCGAGUGGCGAACGGGUGAGUAAUACAUCGGAACGUACCUUAUCGUGGGGGAUAACGCAGCGAAAGUUGCGCUAAUACCGCAUACGCCCUGAGGGGGAAAGCGGGGGACCGUAAGGCCUCGCGCGAUUAGAGCGGCCGAUGUCUGAUUAGCUUGUUGGUGAGGUAAAAGCUCACCAAGGCGAUGAUCAGGAGCUGGUCUGAGAGGACGAUCAGCCACACUGGGACUGAGACACGGCCCAGACUCCUACGGGAGGCAGCAGUGGGGAAUUUUGGACAAUGGGGGCAACCCUGAUCCAGCAAUGCCGCGUGAGUGAAGAAGGCCUUCGAGUUGUAAAGCUCUUUUGUCAGGGAAGAAACAGCAGCUCUAACACAGUCUGCGAAUGACGGUACCUGAAGAAUAAGCACCGGCUAACUACGUGCCAGCAGCCGCAGUAA
rnacentral:rRNA from 1 species